rnacentral:rRNA from 1 species
AUUGAACGCUGGCGGAAUGCUUUACACAUGCAAGUCGAACGGCAGCACGGACUUCGGUCUGGUGGCGAGUGGCGAACGGGUGAGUAAUGUAUCGGAACGUGCCCAGUCGUGGGGGAUAACGUAGUGAAAAUUACGCUAAUACCGCAUACGAUCUAUGGAUGAAAGCGGGGGAUCGCAAGACCUCGCGCGAUUGGAGCGGCCGAUAUCAAAUUAGGUAGCUGGUGGGGUAAAGGCCCACCAAGCCAACGAUCUGUAGCUGGUCUGAGAGGACGACAAGACACACUGGAACGGAGACACGGUCCAGACUCCUACGGGAGGCAGCAGUGGGGAAUUUUGGACAAUGGGCGAAAGCCUGAUCCAGCCAUUCCGCGUGCAGGAUGAAGGCCCUCGGGUUGUAAACUGCUUUUGUACAGAACGAAAAGGUUUCUACUAAUACUAGGAGCUCAUGACGGUACUGUAAGAAUAAGCACCGGCUAACUACGUGCCAGCAGCCGCCGUAA